CAAAGGCAUGGUCCUGACCUUAUUAUCAGCUCUAACUCAACUUACACAUGCAAGUAUCCGCACCCCCGUGAGUACGCCCUCGACCCCCCGCCCGGGGAUCAGGAGCGAGCAUCAGGCACAGAAAUCCUAGCCCAAGACGCCCAGCCAAGCCACACCCCCAAGGGAAUUCAGCAGUGAUAAACAUUAAGCCAUGAGUGAAAACUCGACUCAGUCAGGGUUAACAGGGCCGGUAAAACUCGUGCCAGCUACCGCGGUUAUACGGGAGGCCCCAGUAA
rnacentral:rRNA from 1 species